GACGAACGCUGGCGGCGUGCCUAAUACAUGCAAGUAGAACGCAGUUGCGAACGGGUGAGUAACGCGUAGGUAACCUGCCUCAUAGCGGGGGAUAACUAUUGGAAACGAUAGCUAAUACCGCAUACUGUGAGAUGGACCUGCGUUGUAUUAGCUAGUUGGUGAGGUAAAGGCUCACCAAGGCGACGAUACAUAUCCGACCUGAGAGGGUGAUCGGACACACUGGGACUGAGAGACGCCCAACACUCCGACGAGAGGCCGCAGUAGGGAGUCUUCGGGAAUGGACAAAAGGCUAACGUAGCAACGCCACGUGAGUGAAAAGGGUUUUCGGAUCGUAAAGCUCUGUUGUUAGUGGAGAGGUAACUAACCAGAAGGGGACAGCUAACUACGUGCCAGCAGCCGCGGUAGUUC
rnacentral:rRNA from 1 species